UACGGAGGGUGCGAGCGUUGUCCGGAAUCAUUGGGCGUAAAGAGCGCGUAGGCGGCCAGAUAAGUCCGGUGUGAAAGUCACAGGCUCAACCUGUGAAUGCCGCUGGAAACUGUCUGGCUAGAGUCCGGGAGGGGCGAGUGGAAUUCCUGGUGUAGCGGUGAAAUGCGCAGAUAUCAGGAGGAACACCAAUGGCGAAGGCAGCUCGCUGGAACGGUACUGACGCUGAGGCGCGAAAGCGUGGGGAGCAAACAG
rnacentral:rRNA from 1 species